UACGGAGGGUGCAAGCGUUAAUCGGAAUUACUGGGCGUAAAGCGUGCGCAGGCGGUUUGUUAAGUCCGUUGUGAAAGCCCCGAGCUCAACUUGGGAAUUGCAGUGGAUACUGGCAGGCUGGAGUACGGUAGAGGAAGGUGGAAUUCCCGGUGUAGCAGUGAAAUGCGUAGAUAUCGGGAGGAACACCAGUGGCGAAGGCGACUCUUUGGUCUGUAACUGACGCUGAGGCGCGAAAGCGUGGGGAGCAAACAGG
rnacentral:rRNA from 1 species